rnacentral:rRNA from 1 species
AACGCUGAAGGCAUCUAAGCGUGAAGCCCCCCUCAAGAUGAGAUAUCCCAACAAGUAAGACCCCUUAGAGAGUAUGAGGUAGAUAGGCAUGAGGUGGAAGUGCAGCAAUGCAUGGAGCUGACAUGUACUAAUCGGUCGAGGGCUUAACCUGA